UACGGAGGGGGCUAGCGUUAUUCGGAAUUACUGGGCGUAAAGCGCACGUAGGCGGACUGGAAAGUCAGAGGUGAAAUCCCAGGGCUCAACCUUGGAACUGCCUUUGAAACUCCCAGUCUUGAGGUCGAGAGAGGUGAGUGGAAUUCCGAGUGUAGAGGUGAAAUUCGUAGAUAUUCGGAGGAACACCAGUGGCGAAGGCGACAUACUGGCCCAUUACUGACGCUCAUGCACGAAAGCGUGGGGAGCAAACAGG
rnacentral:rRNA from 1 species